rnacentral:rRNA from 1 species
GGUUUGAGAGCAUGUUCUCCCACACUGGGACUGAGACACGGCCCAGACUCUUACGGGAGGCAGCAGUGGGGAAUUUUGGACAAUGGGCGCAAGCUUGAUCCAGCCAUGCCGCGUGUUUGAAGAAGGCCUUCGGGUUGUAAAGGAUUUUUGUCCGGGAGCAAAUCCCAGUGGUUAAUACCUACUGGGGCUGAGAGUACCGGAAGAAUAAGCACCGGCUAACUACGUGCCAGCAGCCGCGGUAAUACGUAGGGUGCAAGCGUUAAUCGGAAUUACUGGGCGUAAAGCGUGCGCAGGCGGUUGUGCAAGUCUGAUGUGAAAGCCCCGGGCUUAACCUGGGAACGGCAUUGGAGACUG